rnacentral:pre_miRNA from 1 species
AUUCUACUCCCUCUGUUGCACAAUACAUGCCUUCUAUUUGUCAAAAUAUAUAUGUAUUUAGACAUGUUUUAGUAUAUAGGCACAUCCAUUUUUGGACAAAUGGAAGUCAAGUAUUUUGGAACGGAGGGAGUACACA